GAUGAACGCUAGCGGCAGGCCUAAUACAUGCAAGUCGAACGGUGUCUUCGGACAUAGUGGCGCACGGGUGCGUAACACGUAUGCAACCUACCUUACAUUGGGGGAUAGCCUUUCGAAAGGGAGAUUAAUACCGCAUAAGACAGUAACUAGGCAUCUAGUAGCUGUUAAAGAUUUAUCGAUGUAAGCUGGGCAUGCGUCCAAUUAGCUAGUUGGUGAGGUAACGGCUCACCAAGGCAAUGAUUGGUAGGGGAACUGAGAGGUCAAUCCCCCACAUGGGCACUGAGAUACGGGCCAGACUCCUACGGGAGGCGGCAGUAGGGAAUAUUGGGCAAUGGACGCAAGUCUGACCGAGCCAUGCCGCGUGCAGGAUGAAGGCGUUAUGCGUUGUAAACUGCUUUUAUACAGGAAGAAACGACUCUUGCGAGAGGCAUUGACGGUACUGUAUGAAUAAGCACCGGCUAACUCCGUGCCAGCAGCCGCCGUAAUAC
rnacentral:rRNA from 1 species